rnacentral:rRNA from 1 species
CGGGCCCGCCGUUUCGACGGCCGCCGGGGAGGCCUUGCGCCCCCGGGCCCGCGCCCGCCGAAGACCCCAACAUGAACGCUGUUCUGAAAGUAUGCAGUCUGAGUUGAUUAUCGUAAUCAGUUAAAACUUUCAACAACGGAUCUCUUGGUUCCGGCAUCGAUGAAGAACGCAGCGAAAUGCGAUAAGUAAUGUGAAUUGCAGAAUUCAGUGAAUCAUCGAGUCUUUGAACGCACAUUGCGCCCCCUGGUAUUCCGGGGGGCAUGCCUGUCCGAGCGUCAUUGCUGCCCUCAAGCACGGCUUGUGUGUUGGGCCCCCGUCCCCCUCUCCCGGGGGACGGGCCCGAAAGGCAGCGGCGGCACCGCGUCCGGUCCUCGAGCGUAUGGGGCUUUGUCACCUGCUCUGUAGGCCCGGCCGGCGCCAGCCGACACCCAACUUUAUUUUUCUAAGGUUGACCUCGGAUCAGGUAGGGAUACCCGCUGAACUUAAGCAUAUCA